GGUGAACGCUAGCUACAGGCUUAACACAUGCAAGUCGAGGGGUAACGAGAGGAAAGCUUGCUUUCCUUGUCGACGACCGGCGCACGGGUGAGUAACGCGUAUCCAACCUGCCCCCAACUAAGGAAUAACCUUGCGAAAGUAAGCCUAAUACCUUAUACUUUCCUCAGAAGUCAUCUGACGAGGACUAAAGAUUUGUCGGUUGUGUAUGGGGAUGCGUCUGAGUAGCUUGGUGGCGGGGUAACGGCCCAACAAGGCAACGAUCAGUAGGGGUUCUGAGAGGAAGGUCCCCCACAUUGGAACUGAGACACGGUCCAAACUCCUACGGGAGGCAGCAGUGAGGAAUAUUGGUCAAUGGGCGGAAGCCUGAACCAGCCAAGUAGCGUGCAGGAUGACGGCCCUAUGGGUAGUAAACUGCUUUUAUACAGGAAUAAAGUUAGCCACGUGUGGUUAUUUGUAGGUACUGUAUGAAUAAGGACCGGCUAAUUCCGUGCCAGCCGCCGCGUAA
rnacentral:rRNA from 1 species